rnacentral:rRNA from 1 species
AAGGGCACCACAAGAACGCGUGGAGCAUGUGGCUUAAUUUGACUCAACGCAGGAAAUCUUACCGGGUCCGGACACACUGAGGAUUGACAGACAAGCGCAGUGAGAGAUUCGUCUCUCGCUGUGCAAAAUAUGAUAGCUCUUUCAUAAUUAUGUGAUAGGUGGUGCAUGGCCGUUCUUAGUUCGUGGAGUGAUCUGUCUGCUUAAUUGCGUUUCCAUACAAAGGUGUUCGCAUAAUAUAACGCGUUGUACGUCCGCGUACAUCGUAUUGUAUUGAACCCUUUAGGAAUGCAACGAACGAGACCGCAACCUCUUGUUGCACCUUCAGCUGCUCAAGGUGCUCAACUAGAGGGACAGCUGUAUUUAUUUCUUUUAGCCAGAGGAAGGAUGCGGCAAUAACAGGUCUGUGAUGCCCUCAGAUGUCCCGGGCUGCACACGUGCUACAAUGAUCAUUGCACUGCGCAUCUUCUAACCAAGCUAAUUUAUAUCCCUCACCGGAUAUAUUUUGCUAUACACACCCGAGUCGAUAGACAACCUUCUCGGGUAACCCAUUAGAAGUAAUGAUUUCCUAUAUUUCAGCACAUACAUCGUUAUGUGGUCAUGUGCAUUGCCCACUUUGCGGUGGGUAUGCACUCUAUGAUUACGUAACGCGUGCAAAUAUCAAUUCAUGGUGGGGACAGACCAUUGAUAAUUGUUGGUCUCGGUCUUAACUAGGAAUGCCUUGUACGAGUCGGUUCACCAGACCACUCGGAAUACGUCCCUGCCCUUUGUACACACCGCCCGUCGCUCUUACCGAUGGACUUCGCUGUGAGUUUGAGGGACUGGCUGCAUUUCGCGGCUAUAGAAACUCAAACGAACAGUGUGGUCUAAAGGAAAGAGAAGU